UGCAUGUCUAAGUACACGCCUUUACACGGCUAAACUGCGAAUGGCUCAUUAAAUCAGUUAUGGUUCCUUAGAUCGUACAAUCCUACUUGGAUAACUGUGGCAAUUCUAGAGCUAAUACAUGCAACACAGCUCCGACCCUUGCGGGGAAGAGCGCUUUUGUUAGCCCAAAACCAACGCGGCGGUCGUUCACGCGGCCGUCGCUCCACUAUGGUGACUCUGAACAACUUUGUGCCGAUCGCACGGCCUUUGCGCCGGCGACGAAUCUUUCAAGUGUCUGCCCUAUCAACUUUCGAUGGUACGUGCUAUGCCUACCAUGGUGAUAACGGGUAAC
rnacentral:rRNA from 1 species